rnacentral:rRNA from 1 species
GACGAACGCUGGCGGCGUGCCUAAUACAUGCAAGUAGAACGCACAGUUUAUACCGUAGCUUGCUACACCAUAGACUGUGAGUUGCGAACAGGUGAGUAACGCGUAGGUAACCUGCCUGGUAGCGGGGGAUAACUAUUGGAAACGAUAGCUAAUACCGCAUAAUAUUAAUUAUUGCAUGAUAAUUAAUUGAAAGGUGCAAUUGCACCACUACCAGAUGGACCUGCGUUGUAUUAGCUAGUAGGUGAGGUAACGGCUCACCUAGGCGACGAUACAUAGCCGACCUGAGAGGGUGAUCGGCCACACUGGGACUGAGACACGGCCCAGACUCCUACGGGAGGCAGCAGUAGGGAAUCUUCGGCAAUGGACGAAAGUCUGACCGAGCAACGCCGCGUGAGUGAAGAAGGUUUUCGGAUCGUAAAGCUCUGUUGUAAGAGAAGAACGGGUGUGAGAGUGGAAAGUUCACACUGUGACGGUAUCUUACCAGAAAGGGACGGCUAACUACGUG